rnacentral:rRNA from 1 species
UACGUAGGGGGCAAGCGUUGUCCGGAAUUAUUGGGCGUAAAGAGCGUGUAGGCGGCCAGGGAGGUCCGUUGUGAAAGUCAGAGGCUCAACCUUUGAAUGUCAGCGGAUACUGCCGGGCUAGAGUCCGGAAGAGGCGAGUGGAAUUCCUGGUGUAGCGGUGGAAUGCGCAGAUAUCAGGAGGAACACCGGCGGCGAAGGCGGGUCUCUGGGCCGAUACUGACGCUGAGGAGCGAAAGUGUGGGGAGCGAACAGG